ACUGUUUCUGACAAAAAAACAAGAAAUGCAGAGGAAUUGUGCAAUGUAGUCCAAUUGUCCUGGGCUGGAACACCUGUUCACAGGUGCCAGAAGUUGG